CCCUUAGAUGUCCGGGGCUGCACGCGCGCUACACUGAAGGAAUCAGCGUGCUAAAACCAUUGUCGAAAGGCAUUGGUAAACCCAUUAAAAUCCUACGUGAUUGGGAUCGGGAAUUGCAAUUAUUUCCCUUGAACGAGGAAUUCCCAGUAAGUGUGGGUCAUAAGCUCGCGUUGAUUACGUCCCUGCCCUUUGUACACACCGCCCGUCGCUGCCCAGGACUGAGCCGUUUCGAGAAAAGCGGGGACUGCUGCUGUCGGGGCUUUCGGGCCUUGGCUUCGGUGGAAACCGCUUUAAUCGCAGUGGCUUGAACCGGGCAAAAGUCGUAACA
rnacentral:rRNA from 1 species